rnacentral:rRNA from 1 species
UACGUAGGGUGCAAGCGUUAAUCGGAAUUACUGGGCGUAAAGCGUGCGCAGGCGGUUAUGCAAGACAGAGGUGAAAUCCCCGGGCUCAACCUGGGAACUGCCUUUGUGACUGCAUAGCUAGAGUACGGUAGAGGGGGAUGGAAUUCCGCGUGUAGCAGUGAAAUGCGUAGAUAUGCGGAGGAACACCGAUGGCGAAGGCAAUCCCCUGGACCUGUACUGACGCUCAUGCACGAAAGCGUGGGGAGCAAACGGG